rnacentral:rRNA from 1 species
UACGAGGGGGGCAAAUGUUGUUCGGAAUCACUGGGCGUAAAGGGAGCGUAGGCGGGCUCUUAAGUUAGGUGUUUAAUCCCGGGGCCCAACCCCGGACAGGCACCUAAAACUGGGAGUCUUGAAUAGUGGAGAGGACGGCGGAAUUGGGGGUGUAGCGGUGGAAUGCGUAGAGAUCCCCAAGAACACCAGUUGCGAAGGCGGCUCACUGGCCCGGUACUGACGCUGAGGUGCGAAAGCGUGGGGAGCAAACAGG